rnacentral:rRNA from 1 species
AUUGAACGCUGGCGGCAGGCCUAACACAUGCAAGUCGAGCGAGCGGCGGACGGGUGAGUAAUGUCUGGGAAACUGCCUGAUGGAGGGGGAUAACUACUGGAAACGGUAGCUAAUACCGCAUACCAUCAGAUGUGCCCAGAUGGGAUUAGCUAGUAGGUGGGGUAACGGCUCACCUAGGCGACGAUCCCUAGCUGGUCUGAGAGGAUGACCCGCAAAACUGGAACGGGGAACCGGUCCAGACUCCUACGGGAGGCAGCAUGGGGGAAUAUUGCACAAUGGGCGCAAGCCUGAGGCAGCCAUGCCGCGUGUGUGAAGAAGGCCUUCGGGUUGUAAAGCACUUUCAGCGGGGAGGCGUUACCCGCAGAAGAAGCACCGGCUAACUCCGUGCCAGCCGCCGCGGUAUUC